AGGUUUUCUUUAAGUUUCUCAGAUGUUGGACUUCCUGGACAAUCUUUUUCAUGGAUUUUCUGCAGUUGCAUAAAUGAAUUGACUGGAAUCAAGAAGAUCUGUGAUAAUAAAAGAUGGGCCGAAUUCUGCAAUCAAUUCCUUAUUAACCCAAAUGAGUUGCUGCAGAGACUGAAAAAGCCUUCAGCCUGAGUUCCCAGUGUCUAUCAAUGUAACAGCUACUACACAAAGAGGAUUUACUAGAUCUUGAGCCCCAGAUGUUGUUGGAAGAAAAUCACAAGCCUCCACUGUAUACACAAAGAGCUCUUAAGGUUAGAGAUAAGAACAACUCAAAGUGGAAGUGGAACUAGUGCCAUAAAAUGCCAAUUACAGUGAAAAGCUUCAGUGACCACAGAAGCGAAUAUAUGCUGUUUACAUCUAACAGAGUAUACUCAAGACCUGUAAACUGUGCUGCUCUUGCCUUUGAUAGAAGUGACCUCUGCCUGGAAGCAGGGAAGAUGUGGA